CCCGCUGAACUUAAGCAUAUCAAUAAGCGGAGGAAAAGAAACCAACAGGGAUUGCCUCAGUAACGGCGAGUGAAGCGGCAACAGCUCAAAUUUGAAAUCUGGCUCACGCCCGAGUUGUAAUUUGUAGAGGAUGCUUCGGGUGAAGCCGCGGUCCAAGUCCCUUGGAGCAGGACGUCAUAGAGGGUGAGAACCCCGUACCUGGCCGCCGGUGCCCCCCGCUGUGAAGCUCCUUCGACGAGUCGAGUUGUUUGGGAAUGCAGCUCUAAAUUGGUGGUAAAUUCCAUCUAAAGCUAAAUACCGGCCAGAGACCGAUAGCGCACAAGUAGAGUGAUCGAAAGAUGAAAAGCACUUUGAAAAGAGAGUUAAAAAGUAUGUGAAAUUGUUGAAAGGGAAGCGCUUGCGGCCAGACUUGCCCGCGGAUGCUCAGCCCGUCUUUUGGCGGGUGCACUCUUCCGCGGUCAGGCCAGCAUCGGUUUGGGCGGUCGGACAAAGGCGCUGGGAACGUGGCCCCCUUCGGGGGGUGUUAUAGCCCAGCGUGCAAUGCGGCCAGCCCGGACCGAGGACCGCGCUCUGCUAGGAUGCUGGCGUAAUGGCCGUAAGCGGCCCGUCUUGAAACACGG
rnacentral:rRNA from 1 species